CUCCAUCUCUCCUCUCUCUCUUCCCGUUCUCUCUUUUUCUUCUUCCUUCUUUAUGUGAUUCUUGCCUCUGCUUGGGUUUUGACCCAAUGCCGAGGGUUUCUGUCCUAUGGUCGAGAGAGGCAGAUGAAGGAAAGAAUGGGGUCUCUCGCCGAGCGGUGGACAAGAGGUAUCGCCGUUGGAAGUCCAUGAUCCCCGGUCUGUACGACUGAUUCGCCUACCGGAGCCUCUCGGUGCUUUCGGGUCGGUACCCUUAGCCGAGCAGAUUUGAAGAAAAGGAGGAUCGUGGUGCAGUGCUGGUGGACCUCACGCUUAGAUGGAUGGGGACGACUCUGAUCGAAGUGAUGAUGGGAAAAGAAGAUCAGGAGGAUCGGGGGGGCGCUGGUGGAAAGGAAUGAUGGGUAUGAAGAAAAGAAUGGGAGAUUCCAAGAAAAUAUACUUGAGGUGUUUAUCGUUUGGAGUUAAUGUCUAUUUAAGAAAGAGGUGAGAGAGCGUGGACGGGGUAUGCAUCCCACGGGAGGAUACGGGCAUGGGCAGUGUGCCCUGUCUUAUCCCAUUAAUUUUUUUUUUUAUUGCAAAGAAAAGGCAAUUAUCGGGUCUUUGGAUAUUGUUUGGAAGUUGCAAAAUCCGUGUCGAUCAAAGUGGCAAGUGGAUUCGGAUCUAGCUACAUUGAAUAUAGUCUGGUCCAUCUCUCUCUAUAUCUCUCUCUUUAUAUAUAUAUAUAUUGUUGCACCACACUAUUUCAUUUUAGAUAUUAAUGUUUUUAAAAAAAGUGGGAGGAAAGUCAGAAACUGUUGCCAUGCCAGCCAAACUAUUAUUGAAAGAUAACUUUGUAACGGCUGAUUAUUCUAUAUACAACAACCAUGAAGGAAUAACUUUCAUAUUUGAAGAAUUGAAAUAAUGGAUAUAUAUCUAGAACUCAGUAAGCCCCUUGUCAUAUCACAAAACUCCCAGAG